rnacentral:rRNA from 1 species
AGUCUGGUGCCAGCAGCCGCGGUAAUUCCAGCUCCAAUAGGAUAUAUCAAAGUUGUUGCAGUUAAAAAGCUCGUAGUUGAAGUUUUGGAGAGUAGUCUUGUCUUUUCCGGCUUGGGGAGCAAUCCUCUUCGGGAAGGGCACUCUCUCCACAUUGUGGACCAUCCCUAUUUGUUUUUGCGAUUUUUUUCGCGAAAGCAGAAAGGGCCACUCCGUCACUGAGAGCAAAUUGGAGUGCUCAAAGCAGGCUUUACAGCUUUGAACAUAUUAGCUUGGAAUGACAAGAUACGACUCUGGUCGGUUUAUUUUGUUGGUUAUUUAGACUAGAGUAAUGAUUAACAGGAACAGUAGCGGGGGUACUCGUAUUGAAAGGUCAGAGGUGAAAUUCUUGGAUUCUUUCAAGACGAACGACUGCGAAAGCAUUUACCAAGGAUGUUUGCAUUAAUCAAGAACGAAAGCUUGGGGAUCGAAGAUGAUUAGAUACCAUCGUAGUCCAACGCCAUAAACGAUGCCGACUCGGGAUUGGUAGGUGUUCUUUUUAAAACAUGAACCCUAUCAGCACCGUAUGAGAAAUCAAAGUCUUUGGGUUCCGGGGGGAGUAUAGUCGCAAGGAAGAAACUUAAAGGAAUUGACGGAAGGGCACACCAGAGGUGGAGCCUGCGGUUUAAUUUGACCCAACACGGGGAAACUUACCAGGUCCAGACAUGAUGAGGAUUGACAGUUUGAAAGCACUUUCUUGAUUUCAUGGGUGGUGGUGCAUGGCCGUUCUUAGUUGGUGGAGUGAUUUGUCUGGUUGAUUCCGAUAACGAACGAGACGGGGGGAGUUUACUAGUUUGCAUAAUCUAAUUCGCGUUAGAUGGAACUUCUUUACUCGACAACUCGGUUUUACCGAGAGGAAGCGCCCCGCAAUAACAGGUCUGUGAUGCCCUUAGAUGUUCUGGGCUACACGCGCGCUACAAUGACGAGUUCAACGAGUUUGUUUUAUUCCUUGUUCUGAAGGAUGUGGGUAAUCUUUCAAUGCUCGUCGUGAUGGGGCUAGAUUUUUGCAAUUAUUAAUCUUCAACGAGGAAUCUCUAGUAUGUGCAGUUCAUCAGACUGCGCAGAAUGCGUCCCUGCCCUUUGUACACACCGCCCGUCGCACCUACCGAUUGGACGAUCCGGCAAGAUGUUUGGAGUGUUGUGUUUGUGAUGUAAAAGUCGUGAACAUGACGCAAAGCUCUUCAAACCUUAUCGUCUAGAGGAAGGUGAAGUCGUAACAAGGUCUCCGUAGGUUCCUGCGGAGGG